UACGUAGGGUGCAAGCGUUAAUCGGAAUUACUGGGCGUAAAGCGUGCGCAGGCGGUUAUGUAAGACAGACGUGAAAUGCCCGGGCUUAACCUGGGAACUGCAUUUGUGACUGCAUGGCUAGAGUUUGGCAGAGGGGGGUAGAAUUCCACGUGUAGCAGUGAAAUGCGUAGAUAUGUGGAGGAACACCGAUGGCGAAGGCAGCCCCCUGGGUCAAGACUGACGCUCAUGCACGAAAGCGUGGGGAGCAAACAGG
rnacentral:rRNA from 1 species